rfam:Rhizoctonia solani AG-8 WAC10335 unplaced genomic scaffold Scaffold_7, whole genome shotgun sequence.
AGCGGUAUAGUGAAGUGGUUAACACGGGAGGUUUAAGUUUAUAGACUGAUUUCUCCUGCCGGAAGGCGUCGUGGGUUCGAACCCCACUGCCGCUA